CGAGCCGGCCGGGCGGUCGCGUCAGUACCCAGUGGUGCUGCCGAGGAACGUCCGGGCUUCACAGGGCAGGGUGGUUGUUAACGGCAACCCGGGGUGACCCGCGGGAAAGUGCCACAGAAAACAGACCGCCGGGCGCGGCUUCGCGACCGGUAAGGGUGAAACGGUGGUGUAAGAGACCACCAGCGCCCCGGGUGACCGGGGCGGCUCGGUAAACCCCACCCGGAGCAAGGUCAAGAGGGGCGACCUCGGUCGCCCUGCGUGAGCGUUCGAGGGCUGCCCGCCCGAGCUCACGGGUAGACCGCUAGAGCCUGUCGGCAACGGCAGGCCGAGAUGGAUGGCCGCCGGCCAGGGCAGUGCCGCGAGGCGCCCUGGCAACAGGACCCGGCGUACAGGCCGACUCGUCCG
rnacentral:RNase_P_RNA from 1 species